rnacentral:rRNA from 1 species
UACGUAGGGUGCAAGCGUUGUCCGGAAUUAUUGGGCGUAAAGAGCUCGUAGGCGGUCUGUUGCGUCGGCUGUGAAAACCCGGGGCUCAACCCCGGGCCUGCAGCCGAUACGGGCAGACUUGAGUUCGGCAGGGGAGACUGGAAUUCCUGGUGUAGCGGUGAAAUGCGCAGAUAUCAGGAGGAACACCGGUGGCGAAGGCGGGUCUCUGGGCCGAUACUGACGCUGAGGAGCGAAAGCGUGGGGAGCGAACAGG